rnacentral:lncRNA from 1 species
CUUCUCUUGAGAAGUUUCCUGAGUGGGUCACCAGCUCCGUGCCUUCCCCACUCAGGACCAUUUGCCCCCUAGGGUCGUGAUUUCUCACCGAUCUUUUCCUUAAGAAAAAAAAAAGAUAAAUACUUUUCAACAUCUUCCAAUGUUAUGGGCUGUCCGUCCCCGUUUUGUCCUUUUGCGAUGUAUUCGCAGUAAUUUGCAACUUUUGAAAGCCACUCAUUGUUUCUCUGAACUUAUUGAAAUGCACAGAUAUGUUAAAUAGGAAAAAAAACAACAACAACAACAACAAAAAAACACCCAAUGACUUCUGUUUCACUGCAUAUGCAAAGGGAGUGCGGCUUGACUCUUCCCUCGGCAUUCGUUAGUCACAUCCUGUUGUCCAUUGUUUUGCUGUUUGUGGUGCGAAUCCAAUUUAUUUAAUGGUAAAGAGCCAGAUUUUGCUUUUUUUUUUUUUUUUUUUUUCCAGCGAUGGUGAGAUGAUCUGAGAAAGCACACUGGAAACAGCAAUAGCAGAGAUGCCGAUGUGCAGCCACCGCGUAUUGCUGCACGAGCCGCUCAUAAGGGACGAGGCUCUCCAGACAGCUAGGUUUCUCUUCAUCUUCAUCCCGCCGGUGGCUGCGCUGCUUCUGGGAAGGUUCGCCUCCGGAACGACGUCGUGGUGAAUUUUACACAGCUACCGUCAGCCAGAUCACUGCAGCCAGGUUUUGAUAUCUCCAAAAUUGUUUGCCCCUGAGAGGGGAAGUUAGCACCAGCACGUGCUGCUCUUUAAUGCGAUUUCACCGUAAUGGGGUCCCGUGCAAAGGGAAGGCUUUUAUUUCAUGUUCUCCUCUCCCAAGUUCACUUCUUGCAGCCUUGCUGAAAUCUUCAGAAACAUCACCCAUCACAUCUCAGCGUUAAAUGUAAAAGGAACAUUUAAUGAGGUCUGAUUUUUUUCAUGUGGCUAGAGUAACCCUGGGUUAAUUUGCAUAUAAAAUUUAUGUGAAAUGGGAAGCAUUCCCCAUAAGAAAAACAUUUAUGUGCUUUGCUUUAGCUAUGCUAAUUGUGUUUUUACUCCUUUCAUCCAACAGUCUCAAAGUAUUUACAAUUCCUCCUAGAGCUGCAUAACACCACAAGGCAGGCAGGCAUUUCAUCCCCGUUUGUAAGUCAAAAAACUGCAAGUCGCAGGCAGGCUGCAGUUUGCCCAAGGACUGCAAAACAGUGGCAAGCCAAGGAUGGCAAAAGGAGUGAGUCCCUUUCGUAGCUGGUGCUCAAGCCACCGCAUCGGAUUUGUUGAGGUGACACACAGGGAAAGCACAAAACAAAUUCUUCCUGGGCAUUGAUGCGAUCGGUAGCAGUGCUGCAUUCAGGAAGCUCAUUUUUACCUGCCGCCAGUGCCGUGAAAUUGGGGUAGAUAUUGAGUGAAACUGAGUGAUGCCGCAAGGUGUGCAGGAAGGUGUUUGUGGGGUGGGAGGCAGGAGCACGUGGAUGAAAGGACAGCGCCUCCGGUGCCCAAACCUGCCUCCCGCAUGCCUUCAGCAUCCCUCAGACGUGUGGGAGCCCCUGGGAGCUU